CCCUAAGCAAAAAUGUACUCAUGAAAAUUAACAAAUUAUAGCAAGCAAGUGUUUCACUCAAUCACUCAAGUUUUUAAGGUGAUACUCCAACUCUCAAUUAUUCACAACUCUCAUGAAACAAAAUUGUCAUUCAUCUCAAACAAUCAGCAUCUUUACAUGCAAAUGCCAUCAAAAGGACUUUUCCAAAGCUUGUAAUGAAGUUGGGCUAACAAGAAAGAAUUGGUUUUUCUAGAAUGCAAAAUCCUUGAGUCAAGAGAGCUAAAAAAAUAUUCAACAUUUAAGCACCACUCUCUCACCAAUAUCUCUCAUUCCCAACUUCUUCCCUUUUCUUUUCUUUUUCAUUGAGCUCAUCUUCAUACUUUUCUUCUUUUCUUUUCUUUUUCUCAUGAAUUUUUCUCUUUUCACAACAAUUGAGCUCAAUGCCUUUUACUUGUUUUUUCAAUUUUCCCCCCGUACAACCCCAAACUUGAACCUUUUCAUCGCAUACAAUUAAACUCAUCCCAACUCAAGGUAAAGAUUUACAAGACAAGGGUUCACAUACUGUUUAAGGUCAAGGUUCAAAAAGGGUAAAAUAUUUUCAAACACUUUGGGUGAAAAUUUGGCUAGAGAAGGGUUUUCAAAAAUGGCCUUGAUCCUAUGACAUUCACAUGCAAUUUAAUCAAUCAUCAAGAUUAAGGCAACAUCAUCCAUGUUUUCUUAUGAACAAUACAGCAACGAUAAAAACUCUGGAGCUCAAAAUCUCACACACAUGCUUCCUCACCCAAAAUUCAUUUAUACACCAUGCCUAGCAUCAUGACCACAAUCAUAAAUUCAUCACCCAUCUAUUUCCUGGAUAUCGUCAUGCAUUACACUCAAUUCUCAUCCACAUCCAAAAUCAUCAAAUAGAUUCAUCAUGCACAUCAGAUGGUUCAACAUUUUCAGAACAAGUAGUAAAGCCAAGAGUACAAACCAAAAAAAUAAAAAUUCAACCUAAUCUAUGAAUUUUAAAAAGAAACAAAAUAAAAUAAGACAAAUAAAAGAAAGAAAACAAAAGUAAAAGAAAGAAAAACUAAGUUCUGUCUAUAGACAUCCCUCAGUAGAUGUCUGUUAUCAGCCCAUGCUGUCAUCGGAGUCCUCCUGACUCUCAUCAUCUG
rnacentral:lncRNA from 1 species